rnacentral:rRNA from 1 species
AUGUCAGGAAAAGAACCGAAGACAAUAUUGACCGAUCAAUAUGCUGCCAUUAUUAGUGCCAUUGGCAAGGUUUUUACUAACUCAAUACAUCGUCUAUGUGUGUGGCACAUGUAUCAGAACGCUGCAAAACAUUUGAGUCAUGUUUUUCAAGGUUCCAAGACAUUUAAGAAAUAUUUUGGCAAGUGUGUAUAUGAUUUGAAGAAGUUGAUGAAUUCAUAGCAGGUUGGGAAUGAUAUGCUAGUGAAAUAUAAUUUGGAAGAUAAUGACUGGCUACAUAGAUUAUUACAGAACAAGGAGAAGUCGGCUUUGGUUUAUGGUCGACAAACCUUUUGUGCAGAUAUGAUAUCCACACAAAGAAGCGAGAGUAUGAAUGCACUAUUGAAACGAUACCUGCAUGUUCGCCUUGAUUUAUUAGAUUUCUUCAAGCACUAUGAGAGGACCGUGGAUGGUAGAAGGUAUGCUGAAGUGGAAAGUGAUUUCUAUGCGAGUCAAACAUCACCAAAGGUGCCAUAUGUGCAGAUGCUUAUACAAACAUCGAAAGUAUAUACAUCUUCUAUGUUUGAGAUAUUUAAAGGAGAAUUUGACAUGGUAAUGGGAUAUUGUGUGUACGAGAGUGGUCGUACUUUCUUAAUUCAAGGUUACCCAUUCAGCUAG